rnacentral:tRNA from 1 species
GAUAGUUUGGGCGAGUGGUCUAAGGCACCAGAUUUAGGUUUUAGUCUGAAAGAGCAUGGGUUCAAAUCCCACAGUUGUUA